AUUGAACGCUGGCGGCAUGCCUUACACAUGCAAGUCGAACGGUAACAGGUCUUCGGAUGCUGACGAGUGGCGAACGGGUGAGUAAUACAUCGGAACGUGCCUAGUAGUGGGGGAUAACUACUCGAAAGAGUGGCUAAUACCGCAUGAGAUCUACGGAUGAAAGCAGGGGAUCGCAAGACCUUGUGCUACUAGAGCGGCCGAUGGCAGAUUAGGUAGUUGGUGGGAUAAAGGCUUACCAAGCCGACGAUCUGUAGCUGGUCUGAGAGGACGAUCAGCCACACUGGGACUGAGACACGGCCCAGACUCCUACGGGAGGCAGCAGUGGGGAAUUUUGGACAAUGGGCGCAAGCCUGAUCCAGCAAUGCCGCGUGCAGGAUGAAGGCCUUCGGGUUGUAAACUGCUUUUGUACGGAACGAAAAGCCCUGAAUUAAUACCCUGGGGUCAUGACGGUACCGUAAGAAUAAGCACCGGCUAACUACGUGCCAGCAGCCGCCGUAAUAC
rnacentral:rRNA from 1 species